UUAUUACCAGUUGUAGCCUCUUUACAACAGUCGAUCUUGUGCUUCAGCGUCUUGGUCGUAUGCAGUAAGACACAGGUUCCAUCUCCAGGGAAUAUAGAGAUCAAAUCAAAGACACAAUGGAGUGGUUUUUAAGCACAGUGUUGUUUUUCUCCAUCACUGGGACACUCACUGAUGCUUGGUGUCACUGUAACACUGCAGCUGCCUGUGCCGUGUUCCCCUCUACCCCCUGUAGCCAGGUCGGUGAUCCAGACAGAUGUCAGAAAGUAUGGUUCGGUACCUACUGCCAGGAACGAAAUAUUGCCUCAGGAAGAACUGCCACACAGAGCAGUACAUACACUGAAACCAGCGUCAAUACAGGGAAUACAGCACACAGUUACGACGCCAGGUACGGCGUGGAU